rnacentral:rRNA from 1 species
GACGAACGCUGGCGGCGUGCUUAACACAUGCAAGUCGAACGGAAAGGCCUGCUUUCCCUUGUGGAUUGCGGGUACUCGAGUGGCGAACGGGUGAGUAACACGUGAGUGAUCUGCCCCCAACUUGGGUAUAAGCCUGGGAAACUGGGUCUAAUUCCCGAUAGGACUGCAGGGUGGUGCCUGUGGUGGAAAACGAUUUUCUAGUGGUUGGGGAUGAGCUCGCGGCCUAUCAGCUUGUUGGUGGGGUAAUGGCCUACCAAGGCGGCGACGGGUAGCCGGCCUGAGAGGGUGGACGGCCCCAUUGGGACUGAGAUACGGCCCAGACGCCUACGGGAGGCAGCAGUGGGGAAUAUUGCACAAUGGGCGGAAGCCUGAUGCAGCGACGCCGCGUGGGGGAUGACGGCCUUCGGGUUGUAAACUCCUUUCGACCGCGAGGAAGCCACCUGGUUGGAAGGGUGGUGACGGUAGUGGUAGAAGAAGCACCGGCUAACUACGUG